AGUCUGGUGCCAGCAGCCGCGGUAAUUCCAGCUCCAAUAGCGUAUAUUAAAGUUGUUGCAGUUAAAAAGCUCGUAGUUGGAUUUCGGGGCUCCUUAUGUAAUAGUCAUGCGGUGGACACUUGCUUGUUGCUUUAGGGGGGUGUUUUUUUGGGGCAACCCGAGGACACCACCCGGCGGCAGGGGAAAGGCCACUGCGGGCGGGGCCCAUUUAUAUUUCUCGAAGACGUCACGGGCCCUUAACUGGUGUACUGUGGUCGCGGAUUCGAGACGUUUACUUUGAAAAAAUUAGAGUGUUCAAAGCAGGCAAUCAAAAACGCUUGAAUACAUUAGCAUGGAAUAAUGGAAUAGGACUUUGGUCUUAUUUUGUUGGUUUCUAGGACUGAAGUAAUGAUUAAUAGGGACAGUUGGGGGCAUUCGUAUUUAAUUGUCAGAGGUGAAAUUCUUGGAUUUAUGAAAGACGAACUUCUGCGAAAGCAUUUGCCAAGGAUGUUUUCAUUAAUCAAGAACGAAAGUUAGGGGAUCGAAGACGUUAGAUACCGUCGUAGUCCUAACCAUAAACUAUGCCGACUAGGGAUCAGUGGGGAACAAAUCAAAAAACUCCAUUGGCACCUUACGAGAAAUCAAAGUUUUUGGGUUCUGGGGAAAGUACCAACGCAAGUUGGAAACUUAAAGGAAUUGACGGAAGGGCACACCAGGCGUGGAAUCUGCGGCUUAAUUUGACCCAACACGGGGAAACUCACCAGGUCCAGACAAAAUAAGGAUUGACAGAUUGAGAGCUCUUUCUUGAUUUUUUGGGCAGUGGUGCAUGGCCGUUCUUAGUUGGUGGAGCGAUCUGUCUGGUUAAUUCCGAUAACGAACGAGACCUUAACCUGCUAAAUAGCGACGUCAUUCCUUGUGAAGGACGGAUUUUGACUUCUUAGAGGGACUAUCGGUGACUAACCGAUGGAAGUUUGAGGCAAUAACAGGUCUGUGAUGCCCUUAGAUGUUCUGGGCCGCACGCGCGUUACACUGACAGAGGCAGCGAGUUUUUUUAAAUAUCCUGGCCUGGAAAGGUUUGGGUAAUCUUGUGAAUCUCUGUCGUGAUGGGGAUAGAUCUUUGUAAUUAUCGAUCUUCAACGAGGAAUGCCUUGUAAUCGCGGUUCAUCAAAUCGCGUUGACUACGUCCCUGCCCCUUUGUACACACCGCCCGUCGCUACUACCGAUUGAAUGGUUUAGUGAGGUCUCGGGACUGGCGCGGCUUGGCUGUAAAAGGCCGAUCCAUGCUGGGAACUUGCCCAAACUUGAUCAUUUAGAGGAAGUAAAAGUC
rnacentral:rRNA from 1 species